GUGCUUGCUUCAGCAGCACAUAUACUAAAAUUGGAACGGUACAGAGAAGAUUAGCAGGCCCCUGCACAAGGAUGACACGCAAAUCGCGAAGCGUUCCGUAUUAAA
rnacentral:snRNA from 1 species